rnacentral:tRNA from 1 species
CAGAAGGUAGUUUAGUGGCUAGAAUUCCCGCUUUGGGGGCGGGUAGCAUGGGUUCGAGUCCCUUUUUUCUGA